rnacentral:rRNA from 1 species
AGCGAACGCUGGCGGCAGGCCUAACACAUGCAAGUCGAGCGGCCGUAGCAAUACGGCAGCGGCAGACGGGAGAGUAACACGUGGGAACGUGCCCAUCAGUUCGGAACAACCCAGGGAAACUUGGGCUAAUACCGGAUACGCCCUUACGGGGAAAGAUUUAUCGCUGAUGGAGCGGCCCGCGUCUGAUUAGCUAGUUGGUGAGGUAACGGCUCACCAAGGCGACGAUCAGUAGCUGGUCUGAGAGGAUGAUCAGCCUCACUGGGACUGAGACACGGCCCAGACUCCUACGGGAGGCAGCAGUGGGGAAUAUUGGACAAUGGGCGCAAGCCUGAUCCAGCCAUGCCGCGUGGAUGACGAAGGCCCUAGGGUUGUAAAGUCCUUUCGGCGGGGAAGAUAAUGACGGUACCCGCAGAAGAAGCCCCGGCUAACUUCGUGCCAGCCGCCGCGGUAAAAC